CAGUAGCCGCGGUAAUACGAAGGGUGCAAGCGUUAAUCGGAAUUACUGGGCGUAAAGCGUGCGUAGGCGGUUUGUUAAGUCUGUUGUGAAAUCCCCGGGCUCAACCUGGGAAUGGCAAUGGAUACUGGCAAGCUAGAGUGUGUCAGAGGAUGGUGGAAUUCCCGGUGUAGCGGUGAAAUGCGUAGAGAUCGGGAGGAACAUCAGUGGCGAAGGCGGCCAUCUGGGACAACACUGACGCUGAGGCACGAAAGCGUGGGGAGCAAACAGGAUUAGAGACCCGUGUAGUCCCUGUCCUUAUACA
rnacentral:rRNA from 1 species